GAUGAACGCUAGCUACAGGCUUAACACAUGCAAGUCGAGGGGCAGCAUGAAAGUAGCUUGCUACUUUUGAUGGCGACCGGCGCACGGGUGCGUAACGCGUAUCCAAUCUACCCAUGGCUCAGGGAUAGCCUUUCGAAAGAAAGAUUAAUACCCGAUACUGUUGCAUUGCCGCAUGGCAUUGCAACCAAAGAUUCAUCGGUGUCGGAUGAGGAUGCGUCUGAUUAGGUAGAUGGCGGGGUAACGGCCCACCAUGCCGACGAUCAGUAGGGGUUCUGAGAGGAAGGUCCCCCACAUUGGAACUGAGACACGGUCCAAACUCC
rnacentral:rRNA from 1 species